UACAGGGGGGGCAAGCGUUGUUCGGAAUUACUGGGCGUAAAGGGCUCGUAGGCGGCCAACUAAGUCACACGUGAAAUCCCCAGGCUUAACCUGGGAACUGCGUGUGAUACUGGAUGGCUUGAAUCCGGGAGAGGGAUGCGGAAUUCCAGGUGUAGCGGUGAAAUGCGUAGAUAUCUGGAGGAAUACCGGUGGCGAAGGCGGCAUCCUGGACCGACAUUGACGCUGAGGAGCGAAAGCGUGGGGAGCAAACAGG
rnacentral:rRNA from 1 species